GUUUGUUCAGGGAGGAGCCAGAGCGCAAAACAGCAGUAAGCGCAGCAGGAAACACUUCACCGAUAAUCCUCAACCACUGUCCAUACACAGACCUCGAAAGCGAGGUAAACUCAGUUCGAGCCUGCUCUUCUUCACCGCCUGCUGUGGUUUCUCUCCUCACCUCAGGAUAAUUGAGCAAACCCGCUUGAAUCGUGGACAGUGCCGGGACAUUGGGCCGCGGUGAAUCAGGUGGCUGAGGAGAAACGGUGAGAGAGGGUAGCGUGAGGUCCCUGUUCAUCCAGGGACGAUGAAGAGGUUCAGGCGUCAUGGGCAUGAGUCUCAGAGGGACAAGCACAAACAGGAUCUCUAUCAGUUCAACAAGACUGUAGAACAUGGCUUUCCCCAUCAGCCCAGUGCUCUGGGAUUCAGCCCCAGCCUGCAGCUCCUGGCCAUCGGUACC